GGUGUCCUUCUCAGAGUGAAUAAAUCAGAGAACCUAGAACAUCUCCCGUUCUCCCAUGGUGAUGGCCCGUCCAAACACCCAUACCGAGCCCUGUGUAUGGAAGAAUAUGGAUGCAGUUUGUGGAAGAAUUUUUAUAUAUUCCUUUAAGAAAAAACAAGCUGUAGGAAGUUGUACAAUCCUCAGUAGGAAGACCCUUUCCCUGUAGGGAAACGGGAUAAUCCUUUCGAAGGCAGGAAGGACUUUUAUCCAUGUACACAGCGCAGUCAGCUGGGAGACAGUACAUUAGAAGGCAUGCUGGGAAGGGGUGAGAGUCACUCCUUGACUAGUUUGUAGGUACGACCCACCAUGUUUAGCUGAGACCUUAGUGGCUGGAACCUUUACUUACCCUAGCAGAUUUGGCUUCCUGGCGAGGCAAACCAGACACUACAGCAGCACGGGCACAGACUGGCCACAAGGUGGCGCAGUGCCUCUAAUAUUUGGUCCCUGAGCAAAUACAUAGGGGACCACCCACUUGGCAGGAGGAUGCUGGAAUUCCAGAAUUUAUGUAGCCAAUCUGCAAACGGUAAGUUACUGUCAUGUCUUCUGUUGUUGAGGCCACCACUGAGAGCCAGUUUAUUCUAAUUCCUAUUGCAUUAUGCUAAAAGAGCAUUUAACAAGCCAUAAAACCCUCAUAAAAUACCAUCUAUACCAAGACCUGCGUUAACCAACACCAGUACUGAGAAAUGCCAAAACACCAUACAUGAUGACACUCAGACGGUGGUGACUGCAGACAAAAAAGACAACAGUUUCUUUCUCAAAUUUAUUUAAAAAGGAUUAGAGCUGAUAUAGUAAGACAUUUAUGACAGGGUCAACAUAAAAAUGAUAGCUUUGGUUAUACUCAGCACAUGCAACUUACUACAGCGCUAACACGGGCAAGCUUCCCAUGUGAAGCUGCAUGGGUGGGUGGGGCAGAGUUGAGAGAACAGGGCUCACGUGGAGUACAGGAGAGCAAAGGCAUAAGGGGCCACAGGGAAUGCCUACUGUCACACUAGCAGCAAGGUGCACUGUAUAUUACACAAACACCUGUGUAGCAUCCCCUUGUUCUGAUACGUCCCAUGUUUCUAGUUACGUAACAGCAUUUGCAGUCUGUGGUUACCAGACUAAGCUGGUGAUCACAGGACUAAGAAUCUCUACCCAACCGGCCUGGUGCGUUUUCAUGCUGACCCCCUCACUGGUGUUGACAACUAAUUAAAACAAACAAACAAAAAACAAACAAAAAACUGACCAGUCUGUGGGAGCUUACUGGUGACAAAAAGCCCUAAAAAAGUUAGAGCGAGUAACACCUACAGCCAUCACCGUUUUAGCUUUACCGGAGUGAGCAUAGGCUAACCUGCAUGUGACAGAACAAACCAUGAACCUGAGAGAUAGUACAUCUGGCUUGAGAAGACUUUGUCUAUGAAUUAAUUAUAUAGUUUGCCAUAUAGUGUGUUUUCUAACUCAUAGAAAGGCACAUUUUAAAACGUAAUCUUACCUGGGUAAUGUAACAACAGUGCCUAGAGCAGAGCUAGCCCAAGGGGUUAUUUUUAACAAUUCACCUUUACACUUUUUUUUGCAGCUCACUGAUUCUACUCAUGUCAUGAAAAUCUCUACUAACCAGAAGUUGUGUUAAAAGCUUGCUUUUAAAGGAAACUCAGUAACAUGAAGCAGGAGAGUAAACUUAAUAGUCUAAAACCUCCUGGCUUGUUCUACCUGGUUAAUACAUGUCUAUGACAAACACUGAGGAAUGCUGUAGCUCUAAUUCUGUGGGCAGGAAAAAGAAGACAGCUUUAAAAACAGUGCGAUGUCUAAUGGGACGUUAGCAGUCCUGGCUUUGACAGUGUCCUGUGGAAUGGAAACUUAAGGUUCUUUGGAAAGUCAGUUGUGUUGGACGGUGUUUUGCUAAAGCAGACACAGGUGAAAGGAUAUUUUGCUACAGAAAGCAUUCGAAAGGACACAUGAUGAAGGAUUCUUUGUAAUAACACACAUAUUGGUUUGCCUCACAUGUAUCAUUGUGCGCCAUUUGUCAGGACUCCAUAAAGAGAAACACCAAAAAACGUGUGUUCUGGUGGCUUCUUGCGAAUUCCUUGACCUGGGUCGAUUGGCAGUCAUGUCAGCUGAUACAGACUCACAUACUGAGGCAAGACACGUGGGGAGACCACACCCACGGACACAUGAUAUUUGGAGGCAGUAUAUAUAGGACUCAACAGUCUUGGAUAUUUUCAUUUCACUGAGAGGCACAGCUGAGAACUUCUGGUUCUUUCUGCUGACUUGUGCUGAGGCUGAGGCCUGGCCACUCCUGCUAGGUCGGGCCACCGCUGCUGCUCUCCCGACACUACUGAACUGGACUGCUGGUGCAUCCAGGAAGUGUGUUCUCGAGUGGGGCUGCCACUGCUGACCAGUGAACCGAACUGCUGAUUUCCUGACAGUGCAGACAGGAUUUGCUCCAAAGAACCAUUUCUAAACAGGUCCACUUCACCUGUAUCCUCUCUUUUCCACUACCCCUAAUGGGUGGUGGGCUAGAAGGAAGGUUAAAGCAUUUAAGAACCAUUAUUAAAGUAGGGUUGAGAAAAAAUUAGAAGCUGCAGUCCGUCCCAUAAGCCCUUCUACCUCUUCAGCCCUUUAAGUUCACAGUAAGAACUAUGGUCUCACCAGACAGUGGUGGCACACCAGGCUGGCAGAUCCAGGACAGCCAAGGCCACACAGAGAAACCCUAUCUUAAAAAACCAAAAACACCCCCCCAAAAUCCCCAAAAACAAAACAAACAAACAAACCCCAAAACAAAACAAAAAAAACCCGAAAAGCAAAAAACCCUACAGUUCAGGAACUAUGCAGAAGCUGAAUGAACUGUAGACAGGAGAACCAGGAUGGGGUUGCACUUUUCCUACUUUGGCUUCUCUGUGUCCGCCAGUACUGACUUAUGCUUUUCGAAGGACUGACUUUGUUUGGUGAGUAAAAGAUGGGAACUCUGUUUGGUAAUAUUGAUUACAUUAAACCUUCUUUGUCUAUGACUCCUAAGCAGGCAACUGCAUCAGAAGCAGUGAACUAGUUUUGGCCACAAGAUAGGUUGUUUUCUGAUUGCCUUAAACUACAGUUUUACACACGAGAGAAGAAAAGAACAUGUAUAGAAUUAGCUUUAUUAGACUGGUUUUACAGAAAGCAGCCAGAUUAGUUUCUCUGCCUACCUAAAAUACAAGUUACGUGCAUCCAGAUUAUUCUUAAACAUGCUGUAGCAAAGUCUGUAUUUAAGAUGAAUUCUAAGACUCUUUCUUAGAGCAAAGAGAGGUGCUCCAUGAUACAUCCCCCGAGGGAAUGUUCAUGCAGUGGGCACAAUGGCAAACUCUCUUCCACCAGGCUCGUCUUCAGUGAGCUGUGUUCAUCCCUGACCUCACGCUGGUAACUCCCUACCCCAGGACAGACUUCACACUACAACGUUCACAGCAGCGCACAGGUACACUGCUCGCUGUGAGAGGAUGGGAAAUUUAGCAAGUGUUAAUUUCCUGGCAGAUACACAUACAUAGGGAGCUCAGUCCUGCCGGGCCCAGGCUUCCAUGCCCAACUUGAAUGGUGAUGGUGCCAGCCUUGUAGUGUGAAUUCUGGUCUCUCUGACCCUGACCUGGCCUUCCUGUGCCCGACUUUCAUCAUCUAACUUCAAUCCUGGCAUUUUAGCAAUUCUAGGCUGGUUUUGCCAAGAAGGCAACUGAAUACC